rnacentral:rRNA from 1 species
AACGAACGCUGGCGGUAUGCUUAACACAUGCAAGUCGAACGGGUGUAGCAAUACAUCAGUGGCAAACGGGUGAGUAAUACAGAGGAAUCUACCUAGCAGUAAGGAAUAACUUUGGAAAACCAAAGCUAAUGCCAUAUAUUACCCUUCGGGGGAAAGAUUUAUCGCUGUUAGAUGAGCCUCUGCCGGAUUAGCUAGUUGGUAGGGUAAUGGCCUACCAAGGCGAUGAUCCGUAGCUGGUCUGAGAGGAUGAUCAGCCACACUGGAACUGAGACACGGUCCAGACUCCUACGGGAGGCAGCAGUGGGGAAUAUUGGACAAUGGGCGCAAGCCUGAUCCAGCAAUACCGCGUGAGUGAUGAAGGUCUUCGGAUUGUAAAGCUCUUUUAGUGGAGAAGAUAAUGACGGUACCCACAGAAAAAGCACCGGCAAACUUCGUGCCAGCCGCCGCGGUAAUAC